ncrna:Lactococcus lactis subsp. cremoris MG1363 Fluoride riboswitch
AUAAUAGAUGGGUAUGGUGCACACCCGAAACCGUUUCAAGAAAUAACUUGAAUCUAAUGGCGCCUACAAAGCA